ACUGCUGUUUCAUGCGUACGAAUACGUUUUUUGUAUAAAGUUUCCUAUCUUUUUUAACACUAUAUGGAAUUUGUGAUUCCAUAUCUAUUAUAGAACGUAUAAAUGAAAGAUUCCAGUAAAAUGAAUCGUGAAAGACUUACAAAAACAGCAAAAUGGAAUUGAGCAGGCCACAUAUCAAAGACAAUAAACGAAAAACGCAGUAGUAAAACCUCAAACUGGUAUCUAUUAGAUUAGACACCAAAAUGAGAAGAGAAAGACCUUUACGAGAUGUAUAAGCUAGUAAGUAAUAUUUACAUUGAAGUUAUAUGGAAAUAAUAAUGACGAACGGAAGAAUGGUAUAAUAUAAAGUGGUCGCUAUUCUUCUGUCUAUUUCUUGGGCACCUCUUCCUUUACUAAACGAGAUUUGUUUGAGAUCAAACAUGGACGUUUGAUUUAAAAACGAGGAACAAAAUACAGACUACUCAAAGGAGAAUGGAGAGAAGCUGUCUAGGUUUAAAAAUUAAAGACACGGUGAGAAACGCAGACCGAAGUAAAACUAAAAUAACCGUUGCACUAACUGUCUCCCUCGAAAGAAAAUGGAAGUGGGCGGGGCACGUGGCCAGAUACUCUGGCGACAGAUGGACACACAGAAUAUUGAAAUGGUCCGGUACUCGAGGCAUUAGAAAGAGAGGCAACCUUGUGGUAGGUAGACAGAUGAAAUAGUGGCGGUGGCGGAACAAAGUUGGAUAGAGACCAACAAAACUAAAUGGAGUUCUUUGGAGGAGGCUUUUACCCAAAAGGGGUCCAUACAAAACCAGAGAUUGAGUAGAUAGUAACUUAGAGUAAGAUUAAAUAAUUGUUAUUUUUGCAUGGAAUGAAAUAAAGCUUCAUUUUUAUUAUUAUAUGAAUAAGUGUCCGUCAAAAUGCGUUAAAUUAGGGUGGCGCUACAGUCGCAUCAGGGUAGAUCUUAAAAGAAGCGCCAAAUAUAAAAUCACUCUAGUUGCACGUUUCUCUAUAAUAAUAAUUCUUAAAGGUUAUAAGUACUACAUUAUAUUUAUUUACAUGGUACAACGUAAAUUGUUGAAAUAUUCAAUAAUUUACUACUUUACUCGAUAAUAAUAUGAAGUUUUUUAACUCGGCAUACUUCACUUCGUUUAGAAAUGCUACAUUCAUCAUACUUCGUAUCAUACCCUGUGAGAGUGUGUCAGUAUUAUUAUUAUCAUAUUAUUAUUUCUAAACUGUUAUUUAUAGCAUACUUUAUCAAUAUUUCUCCCAUAUGAAAAUAUUAUCUUUGCCUCUAACCUCCAAAGUUGUAAGUUGUCUACUCCGGGAAUUUUUUUUUGUUGAAAAUAAGGCAUGAGACGAGCAGGACGUUCAGCUGAUGGUAAUUGAUACGCCCUACCCAUUACAAUGCAGUGGCGCUCAGGAUUCUUGAAAAACCCAAAAAUUCUGAGAGGCACAACAAUUGCGCUCGUCACCUUGAGACGUAAGAUGUUAAGUCUCAUUUGCCCAGUAAUUUCAAUAGUUACGGCACCCUUCAGACCGAAACACGGUAAUGAUUACAGAUUACUGAUACACGGCAGAAAUAGGCGACGUUGUGGUACCCAUAAUCUAGCCGACUUCCUGUGCAAAGCCUCCCACUGGUACUCCCCUCCAUAUGUUGAAAUGAGACACGAUAGAGGCAUAUUAGCUAUCGGAGGUUCAAUAGACGAUUAUGAUUAAAAAAUCUUAUCGAUCGUUCGAUAGGCUUAAAACACGAUUAAUAUUAUAUAGCCCUAUAAGCAUUUUGUUGCAAAUAAGACGGUUAAUGUUUAUCUGGAUUUCUAUUAUUCCUAGGUAAGCCUAUUUUUGGAAGUGAGCAAAAAUAUGCCUACCAGUGGGAGGCACAGGAUGUCUGCUAAAUUAUGGAUACCGCAACGGCGUCUAUUUCUGCCGUGAAGCAGUAAUGUGGAAGCAUUACUGUGUUUCGGUCUGCAGGGCGCCGUACCUAGUGAAAAUACUGGGCAAAUGAGGCUUAACAUCUUGUGUCUCAAGGUAACGGUCUCUAUCUACUGCGCCACCGACCCUUUAUCUAUAUAUAUAAAAGGGAAUGUAUGUUUGUAUGUUCCCUAAUAACUCCCCGAUCUCAAUGAAAUCUUUUGUAAUAGAUUCGUUGAAGCUCAAGGAAGGUUUACAUUAUAUAAUUUAUAUGGCAAAACAACGUUUGCCAGGUCAGCUAGUAUAAAUCGUCGAAUACAGUACACAUUAUAGAUCUUAAAUUUAUUGUAGUGUUAUCUAUUCGGCUUAUUUAAAUUAGCAUGUAAGAAGUAUAAUUAAAAUUUAAAAAAUCCUUAA